GUCCAAAGAAGAAGACCGAAGGAGGAGAGAUUACUAGAAACUAACUUGGUUUACCCUUUUGUGUGUGGAUUAAUUAUCGGAGUAGAGAACCUUGUACAUUUCAGGUUCAUCAGAAGGAUAUUUAGAAUCAGAGACCGAGGAGGACAAGCUGAAAAGGCAGACAUCAGUCUAUAAAAUUGAGAUGGACAUAAUGUCUGGAGGAAAAGUGCAGAUUGCUCAGGAGGAAAAACAACAUGGUGCCUCCUCCAACUA